rnacentral:misc_RNA from 1 species
GAAAUGCGAUAAGUAGUGUGAAUUGCAGAAUUCAGUGAAUCAUCGAAUCUUUGAACGCAUAUUGCGCCCCUCGGUAUUCCGUGGGGCAUGCCUGUUCGAGCGUCAUCUACACCCUCAAGCUCUGCUUGGUGUUGGGCGUCUGUCCCGCCUCCUUCGCGCGCGGACUCGCCCCAAAUCCAUUGGCGGCCGGUACAUUGGCUUCGAGCGCAGCAGAAACGCGGUCUCGAGUCCGGUGGAUCGGCUCCCAUAAGCCUUCUUUUUUAUUUUGACCUCGGAUCAGGUAGGGAUACCCGCUGAACUUAAGC